rnacentral:rRNA from 1 species
UCUAGUAUAGCAAUCUAUACCGUGAAACUGCGAAUGGCUCAUUAAAUCAGUUAUCGUUUAUUUGAUAGUACCUUACUACUUGGAUAACCGUGGUAAUUCUAGAGCUAAUACAUGCUAAAAACCUCGACUUCGGAAGGGGUGUAUUUAUUAGAUAAAAAACCAAUGCCCUUCGGGGCUCUCUGGUGAUUCAUAAUAACUUAACGAAUCGCAUGGCCUUGUGCCGGCGAUGGUUCAUUCAAAUUUCUGCCCUAUCAACUUUCGAUUGUAUGGUCUUGGCUUACAAUGGUUUCAACGGGUAACGGGGAAUUAGGGUUCUAUUCCGGAGAGGGAGCCUGAGAAACGGCUACCACAUCCAAGGAAGGCAGCAGGCGCGCAAAUUACCCAAUCCCGACACGGGGAGGUAGUGACAAUAAAUACUGAUACAGGGCUCUUUUGGGUCUUGUAAUUGGAAUGAGUACAAUUUAAAUCCCUUAACGAGGAACAAUUGGAGGGCAAGUCUGGUGCCAGCAGCCGCGGUAAUUCCAGCUCCAAUAGCGUAUAUUAAAGUUGUUGCAGUUAAAAAGCUCGUAGUUGAACCUUGGGCCUGGCUGGCCGGUCCGCCUCACCGCGUGCACUGGUCCGGCCGGGCCUUUCCUCCUGGGGAGCCGCAUGCCCUUCACUGGGUGUGCCGGGGAACCAGGACUUUUACUUUGAAAAAAUUAGAGUGUUCAAAGCAGGCCUAUGCUCGAAUACAUUAGCAUGGAAUAAUAGAAUAGGACGUGUGGUUCUAUUUUGUUGGUUUCUAGGACCGCCGUAAUGAUUAAUAGGGAUAGUCGGGGGCAUCAGUAUUCAAUUGUCAGAGGUGAAAUUCUUGGAUUUAUUGAAGACUAACUACUGCGAAAGCAUUUGCCAAGGAUGUUUUCAUUAAUCAGUGAACGAAAGUUAGGGGAUCGAAGACGAUCAGAUACCGUCGUAGUCUUAACCAUAAACUAUGCCGACUAG